GCAUAACGCGAAGAACCUUACCUACACUUGACAUGCCUCUUGGGACUUUCAGAGAUGAUUGUUUUCGGUUCGGCCGGGGAGUGCACAGGUGCUGCAUGGCUGUCGUCAGCUCGUGUCGUGAGAUGUUGGGUUAAGUCCCGCAACGAGCGCAACCCUUAUCGUAUGUUGCCAGCAUUUAGUUGGGCACUCAUGCGAGACUGCCGGUGAUAAGCCGGAGGAAGGCGGGGACGACGUCAAGUCAUCAUGGCCCUUACGUGUAGGACUACAAACGUGCUACAAUGGCGUUAACAAUGGGCAGCGAGGCAGUGAUGCCAAGCUAAUCCUUAAAUAACGUCUCAGUUCGGAUUGUACUCUGCAACUCGAGUACAUGAAGUUGGAAUCGCUAGUAAUCGCAAAUCAGCAUGUUGCGGUGAAUACGUUCCCGGGUCUUGUACACACCG
rnacentral:rRNA from 1 species